UAACCUGCCCUGUGGUCGGGGAUACCUUCGGGAAACUGAGGUUAAACCGAGAUAGACGAUUAGCACUGGAAUGUCUUUUUCCCAAACUCCGGAGCCUAAGGAUGAGUCAGCGGCUGAUUAGGCAGUUGGUGAGGUAAUGGCUCACCAAACCUAUGAUCAGUAGGGGCCUUGAGAGAGGUAGCCCCGAGAAGGGCACUGAGAAAAGGGCCCUAGCCCUACGGGGUGCAGCAGGCGGGAAACCUUUACACUGCACGAAAGUGUGAUAGGGGUACCCUGAGUGCUUGCAAUUUACUGCAGGCUUUUGUUAAGAGUAAAAUUCUUGGCGAAUAAGUGGUGGGUAAGACUGGUGCCAGCCGCCGCGGUAACCCCAGCGCCACAAGUGGGAGCCACAUUUAUUGGGUCUAAAGCAUCCGUAGCUGGUUUAGCAAGUUCUUUGUGAAAUCGUUAAUCUUAACUUAACGGCGUGCAAAGAAUACUGGUAAGCUUGGGACUGGGAAAAGUCAGCGGUAUUUCCGGGGAAGCGGUAAAAUGUUAUAAUCCUGGAAGGACCACCAAUGGCGAAGGCAGCUGACUAGAACAGGUCCGACAGUGAGGGACGAAAGCUGGGGGAGCAAACCGGAUUAGAUACCCGAGUAGUCCUAGCUGUAAACGAUGCGCGUUAGGUGUAUCGGUUACCACGAGUCACCGCAGUGUCGAAGGGAAACCGUGAAACGCGCCGCCUGGGAAGUACGGUCGCCAGGCUGAAACUUAA
rnacentral:rRNA from 1 species